AACUUAUCAUAGUCUAGUAGCCGAUACUCACCAAAUAGUAAUGAGGAUGUAAGCAGCUCGACCAAACAAAUGACUUUUAUGCCCUACCAUUUUCAUAACAGAAUUUAGUAAUGGUUGUGUGCAACAGAGUUCACCAUAAACAACAAUAAAAUACGUUCACAAGUUCAAUUAAUUAUUUAAGGGCUGCAGUAGCUCAUGGACCCCCGAAAGCUGCACUUGGCACCUGAACAUUCCAUGAGAAGCACCAUAGAGCAACGAUACUUCCAGUACAACAGAGUUAAUCAUAAACCAUAAUACAGGACGAGUUCAUAACUUUGCCAAUUAUUUAUUUAUUAAGGGCUGCACUACCUCCUGGACCCCCCGAAGCGGCACCUGGGACCUGACCAAAGGUAGAUAGAUACACAU
rnacentral:lncRNA from 1 species